GGACAUGGUGGUGAGCCGUGGCAAGGACCAGAAUGGAUCACAGAUGAUCGUUGGCCAACAGGUGGCAGAAGAGGAAUUCCUGCCUUCCUCAAGAGGAACACCUACCCCUUGGCUAAUGCUGGGAUGCCACCUAUAGAAAAGUCAGAGGGUCCAGAUCCCAUUGAAGAUACCACGCUGCAUGUGUCCUUAGUAGUCAUGUCUCCUUAGGCUCCUCUUGGACAUUCUGAGCAUGUGAGACCUGAGGACUGCAAACAGCUAUAAGAGGCUCCAAAUUAAUCAUAUCUUUCCCUUUGAGAAUCUGGCCAAGCUCCAGCUAAUCUACUUGGAUGGGUUGCCAGCUAUCUGGAGAAAAAGAUCUUCCUCAGAAGAAUAGGCUUGUUGUUUUACAGUGUUAGUGAUCCAUUCCCUUUGACGAUCCCUAGGUGGAGAUGGGGCAUGAGGAUCCUCCAGGGGAAAAGCUCACUACCACUGGGCAACAACCCUAGGUCAGGAGGUUCUGUCAAGAUACUUUCCUGGUCCCAGAUAGGAAGAUAAAGUCUCAAAAACAACCACCACACGUCAAGCUCUUCAUUGUUCCUAUCUGCCAAAUCAUUAUACUUCCUACAAGCAGUGCAGAGAGCUGAGUCUUCAGCAGGUCCAAGAAAUUUGAACACACUGAAGGAAGUCAGCCUUCCCACCUGAAGAUCAACAUGCCUGGCACUCUAGCACUUGAGGAUAGCUGAAUGAAUGUGUAUUUCUUUGUCUCUUUCUUUCUUGUCUUUGCUCUUUGUUCUCUAUCUAAAGUGUGUCUUACCCAUUUCCAUGUUUCUCUUGCUAAUUUCUUUCGUGUGUGCCUUUGCCUCAUUUUCUCUUUUUGUUCACAAGAGUGGUCUGUGUCUUGUCUUAGACAUAUCUCUCAUUUUUCAUUUUGUUGCUAUUUCUCUUUGCUCUCCUAGAUGUGGCUCUUCUUUCACGCUUUAUUUCAUGUCUCCUUUUUGGGUCACAUGCUGUGUGCUUUUUGUCCUUUUCUUGUUCUGUCUACCUCUCCUUUCUCUGCCUACCUCUCUUUUCUCUUUGUGAACUGUGAUUAUUUGUUACCCCUUCCCCUUCUCGUUCGUUUUAAAUUUCACCUUUUUUCUGAGUCUGGCCUCCUUUCUGCUGUUUCUACUUUUUAUCUCACAUUUCUCAUUUCUGCAUUUCCUUUCUGCCUCUCUUGGGCUAUUCUCUCUCUCCUCCCCUGCGUGCCUCAGCAUCUCUUGCUGUUUGUGAUUUUCUAUUUCAGUAUUAAUCUCUGUUGGCUUGUAUUUGUUCUCUGCUUCUUCCCUUUCUACUCACCUUUGAGUAUUUCAGCCUCUUCAUGAAUCUAUCUCCCUCUCUUUGAUUUCAUGUAAUCUCUCCUUAAAUAUUUCUUUGCAUAUGUGGGCAAGUGUACGUGUGUGUGUGUCAUGUGUGGCAGAGGGGCUUCCUAACCCCUGCCUGAUAGGUGCAGAACGUCGGCUAUCAGAGCAAGCAUUGUGGAGCGGUUCCUUAUGCCAGGCUGCCAUGUGAGAUGAUCCAAGACCAAAACAAGGCCCUAGACUGCAGUAAAACCCAGAACUCAAGUAGGGCAGAAGGUGGAAGGCUCAUAUGGAUAGAAGGCCCAAAGUAUAAGACAGAUGGUUUGAGACUUGAGACCCGAGGACUAAGAUGGAAAGCCCAUGUUCCAAGAUAGAUAGAAGCCUCAGGCCUGAAACCAACAAAAGCCUCAAGAGCCAA
rnacentral:lncRNA from 1 species